CGGUUCUCAAAAAUGGGCGUC
rnacentral:siRNA from 1 species